rnacentral:tRNA from 1 species
GCCCGGGUGGCGGAAUUGGUAGACGCACUACCUUGAGGUGGUAGCGACGUAAGUCGUGGGGGUUCGAGUCCCCCCUCGGGCACCA